rnacentral:rRNA from 1 species
CGCGGCCUAUCAGCUUGUUGGUGGGGUAAUGGCCUACCAAGGCGACGACGGGUAGCCGGCCUGAGAGGGCGACCGGCCACACUGGGACUGAGACACGGCCCAGACUCCUACGGGAGGCAGCAGUGGGGAAUAUUGCACAAUGGGCGAAAGCCUGAUGCAGCGACGCCGCGUGAGGGAUGACGGCCUUCGGGUUGUAAACCUCUUUCAGCAGGGAAGAAGCGAAAGUGACGGUACCUGCAGAAGAAGCGCCGGCUAACUACGUGCCAGCAGCCGCGGUAAUACGUAGGGCGCAAGCGUUAUCCGGAAUUAUUGGGCGUAAAGAGCUCGUAGGCGGUUUGUCGCGUCUGCUGUGAAAUCCGGAGGCUCAACCUCCGGCCUGCAGUGGGUACGGGCAGACUAGAGUGCGGUAGGGGAGAUUGGAAUUCCUGGUGUAGCGGUGGAAUGCGCAGAUAUCAGGAGGAACACCGAUGGCGAAGGCAGAUCUCUGGGCCGUAACUGACGCUGAGGAGCGAAAGGGUGGGGAGCAAACAGGCUUAGAUACCCUGGUAGUCCACCCCGUAAACGUUGGGAACUAGUUGUGGGGUCCAUUCCACGGAUUCCGUGACGCAGCUAACGCAUUAAGUUCCCCGCC